rnacentral:lncRNA from 1 species
UGUCCAUCCUCCUCUGUGUUCAUCUGAACUUGGUGAGUGGUCAAGCAAACACUGUAGUGCAGAGCCCUUCCAUCCUGAAUGUCGGGGAAAAAAGAAACUGCACUUAUCAACUGCAGUUAUACGAAUGCAGCAACUAAUUAUUUCCCCUGGUAUAAGAAGGAAGAACAGAAAGUUUUCACGCUCCUAAUAGACAUUCGCUCAAAUGUGAACAGAAAGAAGGAGGGAAGAUUCGAGGUGAUAUUGGAUAGAAAUGUUAAACGCGUCUCCUUACAUAUAACAGCUGCACGAACAGAAGAUUCAGCCUUGUACCUCUGUGCACCA